AACUUCAAUGAGGCCAGACCAUCUCUGCACCACGAGAAGGAGAAGCCAACACUUGGAAAGGACCCCUGGGAGCUGUUCUUGAAUCCUGCCCCUUGGCUGUUACCAACUCAAAACCCCAGGACAUAAUAAAAAUGUAAUGGUUGCAGAGAUGAAGUGCCAGAAGAGAGAGAACAAACAUCUGGGAAGGGAAGGGAAGGCUCAGAGAAGGGUUCAGAUGGAAUUAGCUGUGUUGAAAGGAGGAUUCAGCUUUGUGGAAUCUGUCCCUCUGCUCCCGUGCAUGCUAUCAGAGUAUGCAAUAAACUCAUCAUAAGAUUUAUUAAUGAACUGUCAUGGUGAUUUCCUUGAGUACCUUAUUUAGCCUGAAAUUACUCCAGGGACCAGACCCUGUAUAUGCUGAAAUCAGUGGAAAAUUCACAUCUGCUUCAAAAAACUGUAGUACCAGCCUUGCCUGCUGCCAAGAGGAUGACAACCCCCCGAUGGUGGGGAGGGAGGGGGAAUUUGCAUCUCAGGAGACAUGCAAAUUUAUCUCAAAACCCAGACUGCAUUGGGACGAGAACCCCACCAAAUCCUGGAAAAUACCCCAGAAGAGACGAGCCAAAGCAGAACUGAGAAGUCAAGGUGCUGUUUGGACAGCACGGGAGAGGUCUAAAGCCAACAGAAACGCUGAGAACCUCGGUCACUCUUGGCCAAAACGAUUAAAACGAAGUCAGUCGGACCCAGGACCCCUUGGACCAACAAUUUGAAUGGAACCCGGGGUAUCCCCCACUGCCCUUGCAAGGACGGGACUCCUGGCUCUGUUCCUAGUGGACAGAGCUGCACAAAUCCUCCUUUUCCAAGUCACUGCCGGCAGGAACCUGCGGACCUGUCCAACCCCUCUCUCUGAGCUGAUCACUGUUAAUAAA